rnacentral:rRNA from 1 species
GAUGAACGCUGACAGAAUGCUUAACACAUGCAAGUCGAUUCAAUUUACCUUCGGGUAUUGAGGAUGGCGGACGGGUGAGUAACGCGUAAGGAACUUGCCUCUUGGUCUGGGACAACUGUUGGAAACGACAGCUAAUACCGGAUAUUAUGAGAUUCUCGCAUGAGAAACUUAUGAAAGCUAUAUGCGCCAAGAGAGAGCCUUGCGUUCCAUUAGCUAGUUGGUGGGGUAACGGCCCACCAAGGCGACGAUGGAUAGCCGGCCUGAGAGGGUGAACGGCCACAAGGGGACUGAGACACGGCCCUUACUCCUACGGGAGGCAGCAGUGGGGAAUAUUGGACAAUGGGCCACAAGCCUGAUCCAGCAAUUCUGUGUGCACGAUGAAGGUCUUCGGAUUGUAAAGUGCUUUCAGUUGGGAAGAAGAAAGUGACGGUACCAACAGAAGAAGCGACGGCUAAAUACGUGCCAGCAGCCGCGGUAAUACGUAUGUCGCAAGCGUUAUCCGGAUUUAUUGGGCGUAAAGCGCGUCUAGGCGGAAAAAUAAGUCUGAUGUUAAAAUGCGGGGCUCAACUCCGUAUUGCGUUGGAAACUGUUUUUCUAGAGUACUGGAGAGGUGGGCGGAACUACAAGUGUAGAGGUGAAAUUCGUANAUAUUUGUAGGAAUGCCGAUGGAGAAGUCAGCUCACUGGACAGAUACUGACGCUAAANCGCGAAA